rnacentral:misc_RNA from 1 species
CAACCCCUCGAGCCCCCGGGCUCGGUGUUGGGGACCGACCACAAGCGAUCCGUCGCCGGUCGGCCCUGAAAUACAGUGGCGGACCCGCCGCGGCCCCCUUUGCGUAGUAGCACAACUCGCACUGGAGAGCGGCGCGCGUCCACGCCCGGAACACACUUCCAUCUUUCACA